UCUCUAAUAAAAGCUGCUUACAGCACCUUAUUGGUCUUUCAAAGAAUAUAGUUCUUCACUGCUUUUCAGCAGCAAUGAAAUGAGACUGAAUAUUAGCCCCCACUGCAGAUAUUCUACAUCUCAAUUUACUGCUGCCAGUAUUUCUGCCUUGGAUUUGCAACCAUAUAAAAAGUCCCAAAAUGACAUCAAAUUAUUCUUCUGAUCUUACGGAUUCCCAUGUAGCUGUUCUCAAAUGUUGAUCUAAGACACGUGAGAAGAGUUUCUCUUCAGAUUUGGAUAUGAAGAGCCAUGCAGUGAGGUGACAGCAUGCACUGACAGCCCAAAACAGAAGGGGAAUCCUCAUGGGAAAAGCUCCCUGGAUGUAAAACCAAGAGCUAUGUCCAUGGCCUCAUCCUCUGAAGUAAAAAGAGCCUGGGAACAGGCUCUUUUCAUCAUCAACUUCCUUGGUACCCUUUCUCAAUUAGUGUCAUUGAGCUCAGGAGUGAAGUCUAAAAGUGGUCUGCCUGUGUGUUGCCUGCUCCUAUUUCUGUUUCUAUGACAGAGCUCAAAGGAACAGUGAAUUUCUUUUUAUUUUGGGGUAUUUUGCAUGUGAGAUUAGUAUAACCAUCUAUGCAAUUGCCUACAUUGAAUACUUAAGAUGUAUUUGUGCGUAUGUGUACAAGUGACAUACACAUAGAGAGACCCUUGGUUGAUUGAUGCUGGUUUGGAAUUGUUUUCUAUUUCAAAAUUGUUGUCAAAUUGCAUUAAGAAAAGAAAGAGGGAAGGAGGACAAAACUAAACAAAACUAUCAGACAAGAAAGAGAUAAACUCACAUGAACUCAACUAAGCGAAGAACCAGGAGGAACUUCUUGUAUAGAAAAGAUAACAAGACAAGAAAAAAUAAUAAGGCUUCAUACACUAAAUAAAUAGGUAAAACAACUGCUUAAAAACAGACGGCUAAGAUAGAUCCAUACAGCUAUAAUUAGGGGUAGCAGAAGUAUGUGUUGGUAUCUUCCAGCACCACAUAUAAUUUCCUGGACUCUCCCAGGACUUUGUCCUGGUGCUUGUGAGCCUCUUGGAAUUUCAUUAACCAGCAUUCAGGAUCCAAAUGCAGGAGGCAAAGGUACACUGAGGUGUGAAGUGACCAGCAUCUUGGGGUUAUAUUGGCAGACUCACUGCCUACCACAAACUGUGCAAGGUGUUCUUGAUAAAUAGCUACCUGACUGUCGGGAAUCAGCCAGGCUUCAACAUUUUUCUUCUGCAUUCCUUUGCUGCUGCUGGUAACAGUUUCGUUGAUUAACUUUUCUGUCAGCAAGAUUCAUAACUCUGGAUUGUCUUGGACUACUAUCACAGUUUGUUGCAGAGAGUAUUUCAUAAAGGGCAUGCUUUCUAUUUUUUGUAAGUAAUUCUUCCAUGUCAGUAGCUGAGAUCAUCUGCUUAAUGCUGAGCCAGUCUCCAAUAUGCACUAUAACCACAGUACUAUCAAGAAUAAAAGCCCAGCAGCACCCAUAAGCCCUUGUGUGCAUAAUUCUCUAAUAGCCUUGCAUUCCACAACAUCAGUGUGUUACUUAGUGAGUAUGUUUGUAUACCUGUCCUAAUUCUAGCACAAGAAGCAGAGACAGUUGUUAAUGGACUUUCUAAAAUCAUCUCUAAAUGACACCGACCUCCCAAGACUGGAUGAAAUGUUCUCAAAUCAAUGAGAAUUAUGCACCAUUUUGGCAUUAUUCACAGUUUAUCAUCUCUCGCAAGUCGCUAAGAGCUACAUCAGAAUCUCAGCUAUUGCUAAAAUAAAUAAUGCUUAAGUAAAAAAAUUAUAUUUGAUGAAACUAUCCUUUUGAUUAAAGCAUUAGAGAGAAACACUGCAGGUUCAAACUGCAGUGCAGGACUUUGCAUGUAUUCUUAUUUAACAUCUAAUUAUUUUGAUGUUAAACAAUAGCUUUUUGUGAAAUGUAUGUUUUCCUAUUUUUUCCUUUUCCCUUUCAUCAUCUUUUCUUCUCUGUUUCUUUCUUCUUCUUCUUCUUCUUCUUCUUCUUCUUCUUUUUUUAAAGCCUGACAAACACAUUGCUUUGUUCCACGGUAAGAAAUUCAAAAGACAUUCCAACUCUCUAGAUUUAUCACUGAAAAAAUGUCAUCCAGCAGUAAAACUUAGAUGUGCACGUAACUUGCAUAGGCACGUAUCUGGAACUGUAAGCAUUUUACUGCAUAAAAAUCUAAAUUAUAUGUUUAGUGUAGUGACAUAGUUGAUGAGUAAAAGUGGUCUCUGUUAAGCAGAUAUUUCAGGAUCCAUAUACCUGAAAUUGAAGAUAUGAAACAUGUUUAAAGUAAUUUUUUUUACUUCCAAGAUGAAUGUAAAAAAUUACAAUAUGCAAAUGUCAGUUUCUGUUUAUAAAACACAUCUAUGUUUGAAACGUUCGUAUAGACAUAAUGUCGGUAGUGCCAUUUUCACUGACUUACUUUAAGAUAAGACUUUUUACUAUAAGCAAUUUUGAAAUCUAGUCAUAUAUUGCGGUCACUCUGCCUCUGCUUUGGCAGAGUGGACUCCUGAUGCUAUCGUACUAAACAAAACAUAGUAGAUUUUUUUCCUACAAUAUUGUUCCUUGAUGUAGAAGAAGUAAUACACCGUAUCUUUUCUGCACUGUAUUUAAGAAUCAAAGUUAUUGAUGAGGUCAUAAUGCAGUCGCUAGCAUGAUAGUUUGAGGGGCCAAUAAAAGGGCAAAAAAGUGAUUUUGUGAAUGUAUUUUUCAAUACUUUCUUAGUGUUGUGACAUUUAGAGAGCCAAACUUUAAGGUAAUCUUAUGAAAUUUCUUACAUUCAUUGUUAGUUUAAAUUGGAUGUUUUUCAUAAUAUCCUUUGUAUUUUUAGAACUGAUUCAGACAUGAAAAUAAAUUAUAUGCAAUUAAUAAUACCAAUGAUGUGAUAUGCAAUAAAGUUUUUAUUGGCACAAAUUUUAGGCCAUUUCUAUGCAUGGCAAAGCCACAGAGCACUUUUCAGAGCAUCACAGAUCAGUCCAAGCUAUAACUUUGUAGCAUCUCAUGCUGUUACAAACAUAGCAAUUUAACUACUCCAUGUUUUCAGUAGGGAAAAAAAAAUGCCCUAUGGAAAUUACUUGUACUUGGCUUAAGAAGACAUUCCAGAACUUGACCCUGUAGUGACUCAUAACAAAAGCAUCAGUUGGAAAUGACUUAGGAAGAGUAAGAGCUUAGUAUGAAGUUGAUUCAAGAGCAGCUAUAAUCUGCCAGUGGAGUGCAAUCAGAAAAAAGGCAAAUACGGUACUAGAUAAGGAGAGAUACUUGCAACAGAAAUGGAGCACUUUUAAAGUCUGCGUAUCAAGAAUUCAUCAAACUUCUUUUACACAAGUACAUUUAAACUUGGUUUGUCAUAUUUGAGAAAGAGUAAUUCAGACUAUACGAGCUGUAUUCUACAUUGCACAGCAGUAGAAGUCUGGACUUCAGCACUUACAUGGUCAAAUCCGUCACACUUUGCUGUGAAAAUCAAAGUAGGAGACAAGAGCUGAUUUGGUGGCAAUCGGUUUAUUUGUUGCCUGUUUUUUUCUUUUUCCAGAGUAAUCUGUUUACUGUAGGAAAUUCCAGUUUAUCAACAUUUUAUUUUGCUAGCCUGGACUGCAAGUUCUUUUUACUCUGAAACUUUCAAUAUAUACAUAUUUUUCUCUUAAAAUUUCCUUCUUUUCUCAGAUUGUGGAAUAAACAUUUUACUGGAAGAAAGGAAAACUCUUUCCUUUGGAACUUCAUUAGCAGUCAUACUUAUCCAUCACCUGACUGUACUAAGAGGUACCUAUUUACACAAUGAUUCCAUUUGCUAUACAAGAUUUAAAUCUACUUCCCAGUAAGCAAAGUGUUGGGCUUUUUUGUUUUUUUGUUUGGUUUGGUUGUUCUUUGUUGGUGGUGGUGUUGCUUUUUUGUAUCCUCUGCAAUAGCAAAUACACAGUUUUUUUACUUUAUUCUGGCUCUAAGUCAAAAUAUGUGAAAUAAUCAGAUUAUACCAAGUCUUUUUUGCCGGAAUUUGAUUAAUACUGGGAGGAUCUUCAACUCAGCUUUCAGAAAAUAACUAAAAAACUUAACUAAACUAGAAAAAAACCCUAAACUAAACAAACAAAAAACUUGGAAGCACAGCAGCUGACAAACCUAUCAGGUUUAGAAAUCUCUCUGUAGAGCAAAAGAAAACCAACACGUAUAGAAAUUUUUUCAUAUUAUGGAAAACUGUCCCGCAUUCAGGAAAGAAACUACUACUAAGAGUGUUACUAGUAAAG